rnacentral:rRNA from 1 species
AUUGAACGCUGGCGGCAGGCUUAACACAUGCAAGUCGAGCGGAGCGAGGGUGCUUGCACCUUAGCUUAGCGGCGGACGGGUGAGUAAUGCUUAGGACUCUGCCUAUUAGUGGGGGACAACAUUCCGAAAGGAAUGCUAAUACCGCAUACGCCCUGCGGGGGAAAGCAGGGGAUCUUCGGACCUUGCGCUAAUAGAUGAGCCUAAGACGGAUUAGCUAGUUGGUGGGGUAAAGGACUACCAAGGCGACGAUCUGUAGCGGGUCUGAGAGGAUGAUCCGCCACACUGGGACUGAGACACGGCCCAGACUCCUACGGGAGGCAGCAGUGGGGAAUAUUGGACAAUGGGCGGAAGCCUGAUCCAGCCAUGCCGCGUGUGUGAAGAAGGCCUUUUGGUUGUAAAGCACUUUAAGCGAGGAGGAGGCUACUUAGAUUUAUACUCUGGGAUAGUGGACGUUACUCGCAGAAUAAGCACCGGCUAACUCUGUGCCAGCCGCCGCCGUAAAAC